UACGGAGGGUGCGAGCGUUGUCCGGAAUCAUUGGGCGUAAAGGGCGCGUAGGUGGCCCGGUCAGUUCGUGGUGAAAGCGCGGGGCUCAACCCUGCGUCGGCCAUGAAUACUGCCGCGGCUGGAGCACUGUAGAGGCAGGCGGAAUUCCGGGUGUAGCGGUGGAAUGCGUAGAGAUCCGGAGGAACACCGACGGCGAAGGCAGCGCCCUGGACGAGACCUGACGCUCAGGCACGAAAGCUGGGGGAGCAAACAGG
rnacentral:rRNA from 1 species